CAAGUAAAUCUCGUGCGGCUUU
rnacentral:miRNA from 1 species